rnacentral:rRNA from 1 species
AACGAACACUGGCGGCAUGCCUAACACAUGCAAGUCGAACGGGAUCCUAGCUUGCUAGGUGAGAGUGGCGGACGGGUGAGUAACACGUGGGAAUCUGCCUUUUGGUUCGGGAUAACCGCGGGAAACUGCGGCUAAUACCGAAUGCCCUCGAGAGAGGAAAGAUUUAUCGCCAGAAGAGGAGCCCGCGUCCGAUUAGGUAGUUGGUGGGGUAAAGGCCUACCAAGCCGACGAUCGGUAGCUGGUCUGAGAGGAUGAUCAGCCACACUGGGACUGAGAUACGGCCCAGACUCCUACGGGAGGCAGCAGUGGGGAAUAUUGGACAAUGGGGCAACCCUGAUCCAGCAAUGCCGCGUGAGUGAUGAAGGCCUUAGGGUUGUAAAGCUCUUUUGCCAGGGAAGAUGAUGACUGUACCUGGAGAAUAAGCCCCGGCUAACUUCGUGCCAGCAGCCGCGGU